ensembl:piRNA 21ur-110 ncRNA
UUGAAGACUUAUUGAAAAUGU